CAAGUCGAACGCGAAAGUUCCCUUCGGGGGGCAAGUAGAGUGGCGCACGGGUGAGUAACACGUAGGUAAUCUACCUUUGGAUUGGGAAUAACCACCGGAAACGGUGGCUAAUACCGAAUAAUGCAGCGGCACCUAAUGGUGACAGUUGUUAAAGCGGGGGAUCGUAAGACCUCGCGUCUGAAGAGGAGCCUGCGGCAGAUUAGCUAGUUGGUAAGGUAACGGCUUACCAAGGCGAUGAUCUGUAGCCGGCCUGAGAGGGCGGUCGGCCACACUGACACUGACAUACGGGUCAGACUCCUACGGGAGGCAGCAGUCGGGAAUUUUGGGCAAUGGGCGAAAGCCUGACCCAGCAACGCCGCGUGAAGGAUGAAAUCCUUCGGGAUGUAAACUUCGCAAGAACGGGAAGAAUAAGUAAGAGUUAAUAUCUCUUACGAUGACGGUACUGUUUGUAAGCUCCGGCUAACUCCGUGCCAGCAGCCGCGGUAAUACGGGGGGAGCAAGCGUUGUUCGGAUUUACUGGGCGUAAAGGGCGCGUAGGCGGCCACCGCAAGUCGACUGUGAAAUCUCCGGGCUUAACCCGGAAAGGUCAGCCGAUACUGCGGGGCUAGAGUGCAGAAGGGGCAACUGGAAUUCUCGGUGUAGCGGUGAAAUGCGUAGAUAUCGAGAGGAACACCUGCGGCGAAGGCGGGUUGCUGGGCUGACACUGACGCUGAUGCGCGAAAGCUAGGGGAGCGAACGGGAUUAGAUACCCCGGUAGUCCUAGCCUUAAACGAUGAAUGCUUGGUGUCUGGGGUUUUAUAGUCCCCGGGUGCCGUCGCUAACGCUUUAAGCAUUCCGCCUGGGG
rnacentral:rRNA from 1 species